AGAUAGCAGAAGCAGAAAGGAAUAUCUUAUCAUGGACUAUUUAAUGUCAGUGAUUACGAAGCAAUGAUGCUAGGAAGUUUAGGAAGAUUCGUUAUUUAAUUCAGUUUACGCGGAAAAGAUAUGUUACCUUUUGAAGUAUUUUAUUCUAUACGUGGUAUAUGAAUUAUAAUUUAAUUUAAAUUUGAUAAAUUUAAAGGUGAUAUAAAGGAAUGCAACAGGUGCUGACGUGGAUGUGGAGAUUUCGUCAUUUUUCUUCGUAGAUAAUAAUUACCUGUGCAAUAAUGGAAGCUACUUUUUCUUUAUCUAUUGCUGUGUGGAUUCGUUUAUUUUUCAAGUGAUGUGGAGUAUCUCUACGAUGGAGUCUAUUUGGUCUAUUUGAAUCACCACUACCAUCAUAAUCAGUACUUUCUAUGAUAGAAAAUUCGACAUGUCUUUGUGUUUCUUCAGUUUCAGAUUCUUCCUCGUCUUUGUCAUUUAUAUCUUUUGAUUCAGAUAUUGAACCUUCAGUCCUCACAUCCUAAAAAAAAUAAUUUUUGCAAUUUACAAAUCAGUAACAAACAAGUAAAUAAAUAAAUAAAUAAAUAAAUAUAAAUAAAUAAAUAAAUAAAUAUAAAUAAAUAAAUAAAUAAGUAAAUAAAUAAACUAGCAUUAACACAAAUAUUUACAGUAUUAGAUUCUGUGAUAUAUUGAUUAGAAACUAUCUCUGGUUCAUUGCUGGACUGAAAAUCUGCAUUAUCAGCUGCUAUUCCAGGUAUGGUUUCUUUUUGUGCAUUUUCUAUAGAUUCAGGUUGUAACGAUUCUUGCUCUAUAGUCUCUGUAGUCAAAUCGUUGGACUUUGUCGAAAUAUCAGUCUCAGUUUUAUCCAAACCAAAUGUUUGAGAAACAUCCUGAAAGAUAUUAUUAACAACUGUUACAAAAAGGUUGUAUAUGAUAUCUCGAAAAAUGAAAUUAAUAAUUACCUGCUCAUCUGUA